GUCUCAGAUGGCCGAGUGGUUGUAAGUUUACCUACCUUCCAGGCUUCCAGCCCCCUCUCUAACAAAUUCGAUAGAAGGCGUGUGACUAGAAAUCACAUGGGUUCGCCCGCACAGGUUCAAGUCCUGUUGGUGUCGACA